UCUCUCUGAAUCUGCGAACGGCUCCGCAAAACAGUUGUAAACCAUAUCUAGGCUAGCCCGGACCCCUCGCAAGGGGGGUCUGGGCAACAAGGAUAACCCUGGUAAUUCUGAGGCUAAUACUAGAUCGUACCACCUUGCGGCCUCACGGCUGCGGGGGGGCGUGUGUCAAAGCGCAAGGGGUUCCGGGAAAGGAUGCAUGCCUAGACCGCGUUACAAAGGAUGGGCCGCGCUUCGGUGCGGCCUGCCCCAGCGGCUCCUGGGUGGUGCUUCUGACCUAUCAACUAGACGGCAGCCUAACGGACAUGCCAUGGUUACAACGGGUACAGAGGAUUAGGGUUCGAUCCUGGAGAGUGGGCCUGAGAGAUU
rnacentral:rRNA from 1 species